GUGGCUUAGUGGUAGAGUACUUGUCUAGCACACAUGGAGCCCUGAGUUUGAAACUCAGC
rnacentral:tRNA from 1 species